UUAAGCGACUAAGCGUACACGGUGGAUGCCCUGGCAGUCAGAGGCGAUGAAGGACGUGCUAAUCUGCGAUAAGCGUCGGUGAGGUGAUAUGAACCGUUAUAACCGGCGAUUUCCGAAUGGGGAAACCCAGUGUGUUUCGACACACUAUCAUUAACUGAAUCCAUAGGUUAAUGAGGCGAACCGGGGGAACUGAAACAUCUAAGUACCCCGAGGAAAAGAAAUCAACCGAGAUUCCCCCAGUAGCGGCGAGCGAACGGGGAGGAGCCCAGAGCCUGAAUCAGUGUGUGUGUUAGUGGAAGCGUCUGGAAAGGCGCGCGAUACAGGGUGACAGCCCCGUACACAAAAAUGCACAUACUGUGAGCUCGAUGAGUAGGGCGGGACACGUGGUAUCCUGUCUGAAUAUGGGGGGACCAUCCUCCAAGGCUAAAUACUCCUGACUGACCGAUAGUGAACCAGUACCGUGAGGGAAAGGCGAAAAGAACCCCGGCGAGGGGAGUGAAAAAGAACCUGAAACCGUGUACGUACAAGCAGUGGGAGCCUCUUAAUGGGGUGACUGCGUACCUUUUGUAUAAUGGGUCAGCGACUUAUAUUCUGUAGCAAGGUUAACCGAAUAGGGGAGCCGAAGGGAAACCGAGUCUUAACUGGGCGUUAAGUUGCAGGGUAUAGACCCGAAACCCGGUGAUCUAGCCAUGGGCAGGUUGAAGGUUGGGUAACACUAACUGGAGGACCGAACCGACUAAUGUUGAAAAAUUAGCGGAUGACUUGUGGCUGGGGGUGAAAGGCCAAUCAAACCGGGAGAUAGCUGGUUCUCCCCGAAAGCUAUUUAGGUAGCGCCUCGUGAAUUCAUCUCCGGGGGUAGAGCACUGUUUCGGCAAGGGGGUCAUCCCGACUUACCAACCCGAUGCAAACUGCGAAUACCGGAGAAUGUUAUCACGGGAGACACACGGCGGGUGCUAACGUCCGUCGUGAAGAGGGAAACAACCCAGACCGCCAGCUAAGGUCCCAAAGUCAUGGUUAAGUGGGAAACGAUGUGGGAAGGCCCAGACAGCCAGGAUGUUGGCUUAGAAGCAGCCAUCAUUUAAAGAAAGCGUAAUAGCUCACUGGUCGAGUCGGCCUGCGCGGAAGAUGUAACGGGGCUAAACCAUGCACCGAAGCUGCGGCAGCGACACUAUGUGUUGUUGGGUAGGGGAGCGUUCUGUAAGCCUGUGAAGGUGUGCUGUGAGGCAUGCUGGAGGUAUCAGAAGUGCGAAUGCUGACAUAAGUAACGAUAAAGCGGGUGAAAAGCCCGCUCGCCGGAAGACCAAGGGUUCCUGUCCAACGUUAAUCGGGGCAGGGUGAGUCGACCCCUAAGGCGAGGCCGAAAGGCGUAGUCGAUGGGAAACAGGUUAAUAUUCCUGUACUUGGUGUUACUGCGAAGGGGGGACGGAGAAGGCUAUGUUGGCCGGGCGACGGUUGUCCCGGUUUAAGCGUGUAGGCUGGUUUUCCAGGCAAAUCCGGAAAACCAAGGCUGAGGCGUGAUGACGAGGCACUACGGUGCUGAAGCGACAAAUGCCCUGCUUCCAGGAAAAGCCUCUAAGCAUCAGGUAACAUCAAAUCGUACCCCAAACCGACACAGGUGGUCAGGUAGAGAAUACCAAGGCGCUUGAGAGAACUCGGGUGAAGGAACUAGGCAAAAUGGUGCCGUAACUUCGGGAGAAGGCACGCUGAUAUGUAGGUGAAGCGACUUGCUCGUGGAGCUGAAAUCAGUCGAAGAUACCAGCUGGCUGCAACUGUUUAUUAAAAACACAGCACUGUGCAAACACGAAAGUGGACGUAUACGGUGUGACGCCUGCCCGGUGCCGGAAGGUUAAUUGAUGGGGUUAGCGGUAACGCGAAGCUCUUGAUCGAAGCCCCGGUAAACGGCGGCCGUAACUAUAACGGUCCUAAGGUAGCGAAAUUCCUUGUCGGGUAAGUUCCGACCUGCACGAAUGGCGUAAUGAUGGCCAGGCUGUCUCCACCCGAGACUCAGUGAAAUUGAACUCGCUGUGAAGAUGCAGUGUACCCGCGGCAAGACGGAAAGACCCCGUGAACCUUUACUAUAGCUUGACACUGAACAUUGAGCCUUGAUGUGUAGGAUAGGUGGGAGGCUUUGAAGUGUGGACGCCAGUCUGCAUGGAGCCGACCUUGAAAUACCACCCUUUAAUGUUUGAUGUUCUAACGUGGGCCCCUAAUCGGGGUUGCGGACAGUGUCUGGUGGGUAGUUUGACUGGGGCGGUCUCCUCCUAAAGAGUAACGGAGGAGCACGAAGGUUGGCUAAUCCUGGUCGGACAUCAGGAGGUUAGUGCAAUGGCAUAAGCCAGCUUGACUGCGAGCGUGACGGCGCGAGCAGGUGCGAAAGCAGGUCAUAGUGAUCCGGUGGUUCUGAAUGGAAGGGCCAUCGCUCAACGGAUAAAAGGUACUCCGGGGAUAACAGGCUGAUACCGCCCAAGAGUUCAUAUCGACGGCGGUGUUUGGCACCUCGAUGUCGGCUCAUCACAUCCUGGGGCUGAAGUAGGUCCCAAGGGUAUGGCUGUUCGCCAUUUAAAGUGGUACGCGAGCUGGGUUUAGAACGUCGUGAGACAGUUCGGUCCCUAUCUGCCGUGGGCGCUGGAGAACUGAGGGGGGCUGCUCCUAGUACGAGAGGACCGGAGUGGACGCAUCACUGGUGUUCGGGUUGUCAUGCCAAUGGCACUGCCCGGUAGCUAAAUGCGGAAGAGAUAAGUGCUGAAAGCAUCUAAGCACGAAACUUGCCCCGAGAUGAGUUCUCCCUGACUCCUUGAGAGUCCUGAAGGAACGUUGAAGACGACGACGUUGAUAGGCCGGGUGUGUAAGCGCAGCGAUGCGUUGAGCUAACCGGUACUAAUGAACCGUGAGGCUUAACCUU
rnacentral:rRNA from 1 species